rnacentral:rRNA from 1 species
GAAUGGCAUCACGAGGGUUAAACUGUCUCCCUCUUUUAAUCAGUGAAACUGAUCUCCCCGUGAAGAAGCGGGGAUAUUUAUAUAAGACGAGAAGACCCCAUGGAGCUUUAAACUUAACACUACCUGCCAGCCCACAUACCUAAUCAAACAAGCAGAACUAGAAGUUAGUUUUCGGUUGGGGUGACCGCGGAGCAAAACAAAACCUCCACGAUGAAUGACUUCUCUAAUCAAAGAGCUACAACUCGAAGAAUCAACAAACUGACAUAAAUUGACCCAAUUACUUUGAUCAACGAACCAAGUUACCCUGGGGAUAACAGCGCAAUCCAUUUCAAGAGCUCCUAUCGACAAAUGG